GUGCCAGCCGCCGCGGUAAUACGUAGGUGGCAAGCGUUGUCCGGAUUUAUUGGGCGUAAAGCGAGCGCAGGCGGUUUCUUAAGUCUGAUGUGAAAGCCUUCGGCUCAACCGAAGAAGUGCAUCGGAAACUGGGAAACUUGAGUGCAGAAGAGGACAGUGGAACUCCAUGUGUAGCGGUGAAAUGCGUAGAUAUAUGGAAGAACACCAGUGGCGAAGGCGGCUGUCUGGUCUGUAACUGACGCUGAGGCUCGAAAGCAUGGGUAGCAAACAGGAUUAGAUACCCUGGUAGUCCAUGCCGUAAACGAUGAGUGCUAGGUGUUGGAGGGUUUCCGCCCUUCAGUGCCGCAGCUAACGCAUUAAGCACUCCGCCUGGGGAGUACGACCGCAAGGUUGAAACUCAAAGGAAUUGACGGGGGCCCGCACAAGCGGUGGAGCAUGUGGUUUAAUUCGAAGCAACGCGAAGAACCUUACCAGGUCUUGACAUCCUUUGACCACUCUAGAGAUAGAGCUUUCCCUUCGGGGACAAAGUGACAGGUGGUGCAUGGUUGUCGUCAGCCCGUGUCGUGAGAUGUUGGGUUAAGUCCCGCAACGAGCGCAACCCUUAUUACUAGUUGCCAGUAUUUAGUUGGGCACUCUAGUGAGACUGCCGGUGACAAACCGGAGGAAGGUGGGGACGACGUCAAAUCAUCAUGCCCCUUAUGACCUGGGCUACACACGUGCUACAAUGGAUGGUACAACGAGUUGUGAGACCGCGAGGUUUAGCUAAUCUCUUAAAACCAUUCUCAGUUCGGAUUGUAGGCUGCAACUCGCCUACAUGAAGCCGGAAUCGCUAGUAAUCGCGGAUCAGCAUGCCGCGGUGAAUACGUUCCCGGGCCUUGUACACACCGCCCGU
rnacentral:rRNA from 1 species